UGAUGUGGAAUACUGAUAACCAAAAAUCAUAAAACCAUGACAAUCUUGAAUCAGUACUCUUUCAAUUUAUUGUAGAUAAUUUAUAACAUUGAAAGAAGCAUUAAAUUAUAGAUCUGUACCUCAAUACUACAUGUUUGGUAAUGGACAGGCCAUCAUUACUUUAGUAACAUAUUUGAGGCAUAACAACAUGCUAGCAUGAAGAUGAAAAUGGGAAUUGGAAUCCUUUGUUCCCACAGAAUAUAUGAAGUUAUAUUUGAACUCAUGUUUGGGAUGCAAACUAAGUCUUCCUUAAAUCCUUGAGAAAGAGAAAUGCUGUUAUCAGAAAUAAUUAGCUUUCAGUUUUCAGUGAUGAGUUGCUAAAUGUGUCUCUGUCAGAUCUUGUUUGUUCCUUCUUCACACCUUUCUUUAGGGCUGUGUUUUACAUCCCUAAUAUUUCAUUCUGAAUGUAUUGACAUUGAUUUCUUGGAUAAAGUCGCUAAAUUAAACUCAUGGUUAUUAAAACUACUGGGGAAAAAAAAAAAAAAGAUUCUGUACUUACUAGCAUGCUCCACUUAACCUUUUCUAAUUCCUCCAGAUUAUUUGAAUUGUUCUGUGGUUUAAUUCUAUUAACUAGAGUAAAGAACACAGAGUGUCAAUAGUCUCUGCACAGAAACUGCUUAAAAAUGUUCAACACUUUAUCCCUUGGCAUUUAUAAUGGAUCAAACUCUGGACAGAUUUUGUGUUCUUUGGAGAGAAUAUGAUGAUAGAAACAAGCUUAUUACUUUUAUAAGCAAUUAUUUGCUUGUAGAUUCUGUGCCCUUUCUAAGCCCCACUGCCUUUUGAGUGUUAUGCACAAUCCACAGUUCCCUUAUCUCUGAUCAAUAGGUAUUUGAUGUUCAUCCAUAACUGCUAGCUGUGUCAGCUUUGAGGUCCCUCUCCUUGGGUAGAAUGCACGUGUUGUUUUACCACUUUGGAAUGACAUCUUCUGAAUGCAAGGAAGUUCCUAAACUCCUUUUCAUUUGGUGAAACUGAAAAAGCAAUGUCAGUGAACUCCCUAAGGAGUGUAAGAAAAAGAUGUCAUGAAGUAUUUGUGCCAUCCAUCACAUCAGUCUCCUUCAGUGUGUAAUCUAAAGGCCUCUCUAAACAACCCCUUUCUUUUCUUUGCUUAAGUUCCUGAAACCAUAAAGGAGGGAUGAAGUAAUGUCCUGGAAUUGGCAGCACCACGCUAUAUUGCAUCAGCAUUUCACAGAGUAGAAGUGUUGAGAUAGUGAAAUCUUCAAAAAGCAUCUACAACCAGAGCCCUGUAAAGAGCCCUCAACUUUGUCAUUCUUUUCUACUGCCUUCUUAAUACCUAACUACUCUGAAAAGAUGCUUCAUAGUUUGUUUCUGUUGGAUUGCUUGUGAAAGGUGGAAAAACUUUUCAUGCAAAUUAAUGUAGAUUGUGGUAAAGGAAUUCUAGGUUUCUUGUUUGGCUGUGAUCUGGUCUCGUGGGAGUUGGAACUUCCCUGGGAAUGUUACUAGACUGUCUAUAUCUUAUAUGACAUUAAUAUAAAGAACUGUUGGCUGCCAAAGCACUUGGAUUAAUUUCUAUGUCUGUAUACUCUGUUGGACUUUUCCAUGUGCCCAAUUGUGAAAACUGUUGCAGACUAUGGAAAAAUACUUCUUUCUUAGACAAAAAAAAGGAGUUAAUAAAAGUGAAGUCAUUCUAGAGGACAAGAUAAAACAUAAGAGAAAUUUCAGGGAAGGCAAAUUGUGUUUGCUGUGUGUUUUGUUUUAAAAUGCCACUAGAGUUUGGCAUUUAGCCACUUUUUUUAAUAGAAAACAGAUUCCCCAUCUCAAAAUCCUAAUGAUGUAGUAGAGAUUAAAAGGGAAAAUCAUAAUUUAUUUUAUGUAAAGUCCGAUGGCAAAAUGCAUGAGUUAGAAAAAAAAAUAAUAAAAGUAAUUGUUCUAUU
ensembl:lncRNA